rnacentral:lncRNA from 1 species
CCCAGGGCCACUUAGGGUGCGUCCACGCUGGGUGUGCCAGGCAUGCACGUGGGCUGCAGACGCCCAGGAGGCAGAGCCGAGCCUGCCAAGGUUAUGCGUGCACCUCUCAGCUCCCUGCUUAACACUGCGUUCCCGGGAGAGAGAUUUCUCCCUGGCUGCUUCACAUCCAGAGGAGAACAUCAGCUCUCAGCAGAACAUAAGGCCCUCUUCACCUGCCAGCUGGGCAACAGCAGUUACUCUCAUUGGAGACCCUUUCCCUUCGCCACUUCCCAGGCUACUCCAGACUGAAUGCAUUCAGGGAGUCACCUCCCAGGUCAAAACCUGCUGUGAUACCAUCACCCUGCAGCACAGACCACAGUCCCAAGCCUCCCAUUCUUGACUCUAACACCAGCCCA